rnacentral:rRNA from 1 species
CCUACGGGAGGCAGCAGUGGGGAAUAUUGCACAAUGGGGGAAACCCUGAUGCAGCGACGCCGCGUGAGUGAAAGAGUAUCUCGGUACGUAAAGCUCUAUCAGCAGGGAAGAAAAAGACGGUACCGUGCUAAGAAGCCCCGGCUAACUGCGUGCCAGCAGCCGCGGUAAUACGUAGGGGGCAAGCGAUAUCCGGAUUUACUGGGUGUAAAGGGAGCGUAGACGUCAGCACAGGUCUGGCGUGAAAUCCCGGGGCUGAACCCAGGAACUGCUUUGGAAAGUGUGCGGCUGGAGUGCAGGAGGGGUAAGCGGAAUUCCUAGUGUAGCGGUGAAAUGCGUAGAUAUCAGGAGGAACACCGGUGGCGAAGGCGGCUUACUGGACUGUAAUUGACGUUGAGGCUCGAAAGCGUGGGGAGCAAACAGGAUUAGAUACCCGAGUAGUC